rnacentral:rRNA from 1 species
UGGGGAAUUUUGGACAAUGGGCGCAAGCCUGAUCCAGCCAUGCCGCGUGCGGGAAGAAGGCCUUCGGGUUGCAAACCGCUUUGUCAGGGAAGAAAUCUUCUGAGUUAAUACCUCGGGGAGGAUGACGGUACCUGAAGAAUAAGCACCGGCUAACUACGUGCCAGCAGCCGCGGUAAAUACGUAGGGUGCAAGCGUUAAUCGGAAUUACUGGGGCGUAAAGCGUGCGCAGGCGGUUUUGUAAGACAGAGGUGAAAAUCCCCGGGCUCAACCUGGGAACUGCCUUUGUGACUGCAAGGCUUGAGUGCGGCAGAGGGGGGAUGGAAUUCCGCGUGUAGCAGUGAAAUGCGUAGAUAUGCGGAGGAACACCGAUGGCGAAGGCAAUCCCCUGGGCCUGCACUGACGCUCAUGCACGAAAAGCGUGGGGGAGCAAAACAGGAUUAGAUCCCUGGUAGUCCACGCCCUAAAACGAUGUCAACU